rnacentral:rRNA from 1 species
CCUGGCUUAGGACGAACGCUGGCGGCGUGCCUAAUACAUGCAAGUCGAACGGUCUUUCUAUGGAAGCUUGCUUCCACUGAGAAGAUAGUGGCGAACGGGUGAGUAACACGUGGGUAACCUGCCCAUAAGAGGGGGGAUAACAUCCGGAAACGGGUGCUAAUACCGCAUAGUUUUCUUGAUUGCAUGAUUGAGAAAGGAAAGACGGCCUUUGUGCUGUCGCUUAUGGAUGGACCCGCGGCGUAUUAGUUAGUUGGUGAGGUAACGGCUCACCAAGACGAUGAUACGUAGCCGACCUGAGAGGGUGAUCGGCCACAUUGGGACUGAGACACGGCCCAAACUCCUACGGGAGGCAGCAGUAGGGAAUCUUCCGCAAUGGACGAAAGUCUGACGGAGCAACGCCGCGUGAGUGAAAGAAGGUUUUCGGAUCGUAAAACUCUGUUGUCAGAGAAGAACAAGUUGGAGAGUAACUGCUCCAGCCUUGACGGUAUCUGACCAGAAAGCCACGGCUAACUACGUGCCAGCCGCCGC